rnacentral:rRNA from 1 species
CCGGAAUUACUGGGCGUAAAGGGCGCGUAGGCGGCUUGGUAAGUCGGGGGUGAAAGUCAGCGGCUCAACCGCUGGACUGCCUUCGAGACUGCCUGGCUUGAGCAUGGUAGAGGCUGGCGGAAUUCCCGGUGUAGCGGUGGAAUGCGUAGAGAUCGGGAGGAACACCAGUGGCGAAGGCGGCCUUCUGGACCAAUACUGACGCUCAUGCACGAAAGCGUGGGGAGCAAACAGG